GAAUAAUUCAAGUUGAAUGCUUUAAAAGUCACACUGAACGGUUCCUGCACUACUACAGUACUAGGCCUAUACGGAGGAUUUAGACAACAGCAAAACUGUUGUCUCAAAGUCUUUCAUUGAGUGCAGUAAAAAAAGAUUACAUUGGAAUAUUCUAAUCAAAAACUGCAUAGGCUGAGGAAAAAGACCCAAAGAACCCUAAUGAUGACAUGUCUUUGCUGAUCAAUGUGAUGACGGUAAUGGACAAGGGCAAAAGAAGGUUGCCGCCUUUCAGUUCCUGGCCUAGCCCAUGUCCACAACAACACACCAGGAGAAAUCAGCCCAUGCCCUUCCUCUCUGCCAACAUCUGAUUUCUAGAGGAUGAUCAAAGAGGUGCUCUUUUAGAACUUGAAGGUACAUAAUACACGGCUCGUAUACAUGAUACUAAUCUAAUGUUUGUAGUUAAAUGUACCGUGAUGUUUCAGCUUUACAGAUAUGAAAGAAAACCGUUGGUAUCAGAUGAGUCACGUACCACAGCAAUGCUCUCAGUAAGUGGUGUGGGAAAUGUCAACAUGUAAACGUGGAACUGACAGUAUGUGGUUACUGACAGAGAAACAAAUACAGACUGUAUACACUGUAAGUAGGCCUUAUCCUAUGUGAAGGAAAAA